rnacentral:rRNA from 1 species
GAUGAACGCUGGCGGCGUGCUUAACACAUGCAAGUCGAACGGAAAGGCUCCUGCUUGCAGGGGUACUCGAGUGGCGAACGGGUGAGUAACACGUGGGUGAUCUGCCCUGCACUUCGGGAUAAGCCUGGGAAACUGGGUCUAAUACCGGAUAGGACGAUGGUUUGGAUGCCAUUGUGGAAAGUUUUUUCGGUGUGGGAUGAGCUCGCGGCCUAUCAGCUUGUUGGUGGGGUAAUGGCCUACCAAGGCGUCGACGGGUAGCCGGCCUGAGAGGGUGUACGGCCACAUUGGGACUGAGGUACGGCCCAGACUCCUACGGGAGGCAGCAGUGGGGAAUAUUGCACAAUGGGCGCAAGCCUGAUGCAGCGACGCCGCGUGGGGGAUGACGGCCUUCGGGUUAUAAACUACUUUCGCUGGGGACGAAGCGCAAGUGACGGUACCUGGAGAGGAAGCACCGGCUAACUACGUG